UACAGAGGGUGCGAGCGUUAAUCGGAAUUACUGGGCGUAAAGCGUGCGUAGACGGCUAUCUAAGUCGGGUGUGAAGGCCCCGGGCUCAACCUGGGAAUUGCAUUCGAGACUGAAUAGCUAGGGUGCGGUAGAGGGAAGCGGAAUUUCCGGUGUAGCGGUGAAAUGCGUAGAUAUCGGAAGGAACAUCAGUGGCGAAAGCGGCUUCCUGGACCAGCACCGACGUUCAGGCACGAAAGCGUGGGGAGCAAACAGG
rnacentral:rRNA from 1 species